AUGGCUCAGAGUGAACGCUGGCGGCAGGCCUAAUACAUGCAAGUCGAACGGCAGCACAGCAGAGCUUGCUCUGUGGGUGGCGAGUGGCGGACGGGUGAGGAUACAUGGGAAUCUGCCCAGUCGUGGGGGAUAACGUAGGGAAACUUACGCUAAUACCGCAUGCGCCCUUCGGGGGAAAGCCGGGGACCUUCGGGCCUGGCGCGAUUGGAUGAGCCCAUGUCGGAUUAGCUAGUUGGCGGGGUAAUGGCCCACCAAGGCGACGAUCCGUAGCUGGUCUGAGAGGAUGAUCAGCCACACUGGAACUGAGACACGGUCCAGACUCCUACGGGAGGCAGCAGUAGGGAAUAUUGGACAAUGGGCGCAAGCCUGAUCCAGCCAUGCCGCGUGAGUGAAGAAGGCCCUCGGGUUGUAAAGCUCUUUUGUCCGGAAAGAAAAGCGCCGGGUUAAUACCCUGGUGUCCUGACGGUACCGGAAGAAUAAGCACCGGCUAACUUCGUG
rnacentral:rRNA from 1 species